GGCCCCAGAGGAAACCCACAAGGGGAUUUCAACCCCAUCAGUGUGGAACUCAGUCACUUUGGCAGGAAACAAAGUGAGAAGGAACCUGUUACAGUUUGCACCAUCUAUUAUAGUCGAUGCAAAACAUGACUGUGGGGUGUUACACAGAGCUCUCAUUACAAGAUAAGGUCUCUGCGUGUCAUUUCCCGUCAAUGAUGUUAUUCAGCAGGAUGGCUCACAUGUUGAAACUUGAAACUCCUUGGGUGAAAAAAAAAAUCCCUCUGCAGGCUAUACCAGAUGUUGCUUGUUGUAGCUCCUCAGGCCCAAAAAGAUGAGUUAAUCCUUGAAGGAAAUUAUUUUGAACUUGCAUCAAACUCAGAGGCUUUGAUCCAACAGGCCAUGGCAAUUGAAAACAAGGCUAUCAGAAGAGCUGUGGGUGGUAGUCCUGUCUCUGAGAAAGGAACAGGGCCACUGGCUGAC
rnacentral:lncRNA from 1 species